ACCCGUAUAUCCAAAUCCAAAUACAACUGAGAUCGGAAGCACCUGAAACGACCGAGAAGCAAGGCAGAGGAGAUGAUGAGGGUCCUCCUCUGCAACUGCUCUGCUUCACUACCACUCCCAACAGUUACUCCCAGCAAACCCCAAACUCUCUUCACCACUACCACUACCACUACCACUUCCACGACUCUCAAUUGGCCUCAGAAAACCCUAAUCAGUGCCCUAACUGGCGCUCUCUCCUUGGGCCUAGCCGUCUCUCCCCUUUCUUCUCUCGCACUCCCUUCACCCCUCAAUCAACCCCAAAAUCACUCAACAGAAUACUGUCGACAAGAGGAGAGGGAAGACAGCUUCGACGCGGCUCCCGAAUCCAUUACGGACGAAGGGAUUGUGGAGGAAGCUUGGGAGAUCGUCAAUGAUAGCUUUCUCGACACUGGUCGCCACCGGUGGUCCCCCGACACCUGGCUUCGAAAGAAAGAAGAUAUCUUAGCCACUUCCAUUCAGACGAGAUCAAAAGCUCAUGACAUGAUCCGACGGAUGUUGGCUAGCUUGGGUGACCCCUAUACAAGAUUUCUUUCUCCCGCUGAGUUCUCCAAGAUGGGAAGGUAUGACAUGACUGGGAUUGGAAUAAACCUUAGGGAAGUUCCCGACGAGAAUGGAGCUGUGAAACUGAAGGUAUUAGGACUCAUUUUGGAUGGACCUGCCCAUACUGCUGGUGUGAGACAGGGAGAUGAAGUCUUAGCAGUUAAUGGGGUGGAUGUGAAGGGAAAGUCUGCUUUUGAAGUAUCGUCUCUGUUACAAGGCCCUAAUGAAACUUUUGUGACUGUUCAGGUCAAGCACGGAAACUGUGGACCUGUGCAAUCUAUUGAAGUUCAGAGACAACUUGUUGCUCGCACCCCGGUUCUCUAUCGAUUAGAACAAAUAGAGAAUGGUGCAACUUUUGUUGGUUAUGUGCGCCUAAAGGAGUUCAAUGCAUUAGCAAGAAAAGAUUUGUUUACAGCAAUGAAGCGACUCCAGGACUUGGGUGCCUCUUCUUUUAUUCUUGAUCUUAGAGAUAACCGUGGUGGACUAGUUCAGGCUGGAAUUGAAAUUGCUAAGCUCUUUCUAAACGAGGGGGAGACGGUCAUUCAAACUGUUGGACGGGAUGCCCAGUAUCAGACAAACAUUAUUGCCGAAACUGCACCUUUAGUUACAGCUCCUGUUAUUGAUCUUUGGAUCCAACCCAAAAAUCUUAAGCUAUUAUGGGAGACUGGAGAGGUCCCUGAUGAGGGAUCAUACUUAAGCAACGUGGGUUUGUAUUAUGUAACACAUAUGGCCUGUUUGUUUGCCUGGAUUUCAGCAUCAGAUUGGACUAUAAAUCCAAGAGGACCACAGAUCCUGGGUUUGGGUGAAACUUUUGCAGUCAAGAUUAAAUAUCCGUUGGUAUGAAAUCCUCAAAACAUGGGGUUAAUAACUUGAGAGAUGUUGUACAUUCACCCAUCACGAUUAGUCUAAUAGAAUUACAUAUACCUUGAGAUUAUAUAUUCUUUCACUGUUUAGUGCAGUCAAAUAAGGGGCACUUUUUGUUUAGUUCAUUUUUUGUGCUGAAAACCUAAACUGCUUAUGAUCUGGUAAUUUGAAGUUGGUGUCACCUGGAUUGAUAUGGCUGAGGCUCAAGUGGCCUUUGCUGAAUUAUUGGGUUGGUUUAAGUUCUGACUGGUGCAGAAAUGAGCAUAUCGAAAUGAAUAUUGGGUGGUCCAUUCCUGGUUCAUCAAACUUGGAUUCCAUUCAAAAUUGUCUCUGGUUGGUUUGCCAAUUGGCUUACCAUCCUCAAGCUUCAGCUGGUUCCUGUAUUUCAUGAAUGAAGGUGGAAAUGAAACCCUACAACUUGUGAAAUGUCCUCACAGUAAUGUGUAGCGGAUAUGGGCUGACCCUGGACUUGGGUUUUGGUGAACAAAAAUA